GAGCGCCGUAGCAAUACGGAACGGCAGACGGGAGAGUAACACGUGGGAACGUACCCUUUGGUUCGGAACAACCCAGGGAAACUUGGGCUAAUACCGGAUAAGCCCUUACGGGGAAAGAUUCAUCGCCGAAGGAUCGGCCCGCGUCUGAUUAGCUAGUUGGUGGGGUAAUGGCCCACCAAGGCGACGAUCAGUAGCUGGUCUGAGAGGAUGAUCAGCCUCACUGGGACUGAGACACGGCCCAGACUCCUACGGGAGGCAGCAGUGGGGAAUAUUGGACAAUGGGCGCAAGCCUGAUCCAGCCAUGCCGCGUGGGUGAUGAAGGCCCUAGGGUUGUAAAGCCCUUUCGGCGAGGAAGAUAAUGACGGUACCCGCAGAAGAAGCCCCGGCUAACUUCGUG
rnacentral:rRNA from 1 species